CGCUAUGAAAUAGAGCCAUGCAUACAUAGACCAAACCAACCAACCAACCAAAAAAUUGGAAAAAAAAAGUCUAAUUUUAUCAAAGAUAAAGAUUUAGAGAUCUCUCAAAAAUGGCUUUUAGAAAGAAGAAAAAAGAAAAGAAAAAAAAAGAACCUUGAACUUGAAAACUCAUAAAGCUUGCCGGUGCUGGAGAAGACAAUGACACCAACAUCUGCAUCACACAAAACUGACAACUCCUUAGCCUUUUUCAGCAACCCAUUACGCCGCUUUGAGAAGGUCACUUGCCGACUGUUCAAGUUCUCAAUUUUCUUGAUCUCAAUUUUGCCUCUCCCCAUUUUGUUGUUGCUGCUUCCUUUUAACAACACACAGAGAGAUUAUAAGAAGAAGAGGAAGAGAGAGAGAAGGAAGCAAAUGAAAUGAGAUGAAAUGAAAGGAAAAUUAGUGUCUAAUGUGUAGAAAAGAAGACUAAAUAUAAGGAAAAAAAAACUUCGAAAUGACAGGGGGACUAAUGAAGGAAAGUGUGACCAAAAUUAGAAUAUAACAUGGAAAGGUGACAGAUGGGAUACUAUAUGUAGCAAAUUCUACGAAUAUGGGCAUAUUUCUAUUUACUUGACGACUAGUCUUUCCCACUUUUGGAACUUCUCCUUAGGCUUUGUUUGGUAUUACGUUCAAUUGUUUCGAGAUUUUGCGGCCAAGGCGGAUGUACGGUACAGCAGUAUAUAUAUAUAUAUCUAGGGAGUGGUGCUGUCUCUCUAUUAUCAGAAUUGUAAUUAGAGUUACCCAAAAAAAAAACAAAAAAGUGGGACUUUUUCAGGAUAAACUGGGCCUAAAGUUAGGUCCAUGUAGGGUUUUGCAUGGAUUUGGGGCCCGGCCCAACACACUAUUUGCACCAUUUCCUUGUUAGGCAAGUUCUUUACCUUUUUUCUCUCUUUGCCCAAUGAUCUUUUACCCCUUUUUUUUUUCUUCCUCAAUAUAAGAUUUUCUUACUUAAAUUAGUUAUUUACUGUUAGUACCAAUUUUCCCUUCAAAAAAGAAUUAAAACUUUUAAUUUAUUACAUCAUUACUCUGUUCUUCUUCUUCUACAUAUUUUCAAACUCUGUAUGAAGUUUUCUUUUUUUCUUUUAGCAAUUAAACAAACUUUUUUUUUUUUUUUUGGUUUUUCGGUUAAAGGGUUUAUCACAAUUCAACAACACUAAUCUAAAGGCGCUAUGAAAUAGAGCCAUGCAUACAUAGACCAAACCAACCAACCAACCAAAAAAUUGGAAAAAAAAAGUCUAAUUUUAUCAAAGAUAAAGAUUUAGAGAUCUCUCAAAAAUGGCUUUUAGAAAGAAGAAAAAAGAAAAGAAAAAAAAAGAACCUUGAACUUGAAAACUCAUAAAGCUUGCCGGUGCUGGAGAAGACAAUGACACCAACAUCUGCAUCACACAAAACUGACAACUCCUUAGCCUUUUUCAGCAACCCAUUACGCCGCUUUGAGAAGGUCACUUGCCGACUGUUCAAGUUCUCAAUUUUCUUGAUCUCAAUUUUGCCUCUCCCCAUUUUGUUGUUGCUGCUUCCUUUUAACAACACACAGAGAGAUUAUAAGAAGAAGAGGAAGAGAGAGA
rnacentral:lncRNA from 1 species